rnacentral:rRNA from 1 species
GACGAACGCUGGCGGCGUGCUUAACACAUGCAAGUCGAACGAAGUGGCGAACGGGUGAGUACUACGUGAGUAACCUGCCCUCCUUUUUGGGAUAAGCCUUGGAAACGGGGUCUAAUACCGAAUAAAGGGGGAUGGGCUCGCGGCCUCUCCGCUUGUUGGUGGGGUGAUGGCCUACCAAGGCGGUGACGGGUAGCCGGCCUGAGAGGGUGACCGGACAAAAGGGGACUGGUAUAAGGCCCAGAAUCCUACGGGAGGCAGCAGUGGGGGAUAUUGGACAAUGGGCGAAAGGCUGAUGCAGCGACGGCGCGGGGGGGAUGAAGGCUUUCGGGUUGGAAACCUCUUUCGCGAUCGAAAGGGUAGGUGGAGAAGAAGCGCCGGCGAACGAAGGGCCAGCAGCCGCGGUAAUAC